rnacentral:rRNA from 1 species
CAGCACCUCAAGUGGUCAGGAUGAUUAUUGGGCCUAAAGCAUCCGUAGCCGGCGCUGUAAGUUUUCGGUUAAAUCUGUACGCUCAACGUACAGGCUGCCGGGAAUACUGCAGAGCUAGGGAGUGGGAGAGGUAGACGGUACUCGGUAGGAAGGGGUAAAAUCCUUUGAUCUAUUGAUGACCACCUGUGGCGAAGGCGGUCUACCAGAACACGUCCGACGGUGAGGGAUGAAAGCUGGGGGAGCAAUCCGGAUUAGAUACCCGAGUAGUCC